AAGCGUUUAUGACCAGACUUGGGCUUGGUUAAUCAUCUGGGGUUCUCCCCAGUGCACUUUUCCAGUCCAGGCCAGCAUCAGUUUUCCCCGGGGGAUAAAGGCGGCGGGAAUGUGGCUCUCUUCGGGGAGUGUUAUAGCCCUCGGUGCAAUGCCGCCUACCUGGACCGAGGACCGCGCUUCGGCUAGGAUGCUGGCGUAAUGGU
rnacentral:rRNA from 1 species